CCUCUUCGUAGCCGAGGUUGGCGGUCGACGGUCCGCGUCCGACAGCAACGAGGAGGAGUUCCGCCUCAAUGGUGGUGCCGUUCUCCAAAGUGAC
rnacentral:tRNA from 1 species